rnacentral:lncRNA from 1 species
GGUAACUUCAAUUAGUACAAAAAAUGAUUCAUAUGCUAAUUAGUACAGAAAAUGAUUCAUAUGCUACCGACUUAGUGUUCGAACCUAUGGAGUCAUGCACAAAGUCAAACGACGUAGGAAAGAAUUGACCUAAAUCUAUAAGUUUAAUUUGAAAAUAUGUGGCUUGAUUGAAUAAAUAGAUUAAUUUGAUUAAGAAUUAAGUUAUGGGUCAUACA